rnacentral:lncRNA from 1 species
CCGUUUUUUUAAUUUCCUUUUUUGAGGUGGGAAAACUGAAACCCACCUUGAUUCGUCCCCUCUCCCCCCUCCCCACCUUCCCUCGCCCUAAUCCCCCAACGAGGAAGGAAGGAGCAGUUGGUUCAAUCUCUGGUAAUCUAUGCCAGCAAUUAUGACAAUGUUAGCAGACCAUGCAGCUCGUCAGCUGCUUGAUUUCAGCCAAAAACUGGAUAUCAACUUAUUAGAUAAUGUGGUGAAUUGCUUAUACCAUGGAGAAGGAGCCCAGCAAAGAAUGGCUCAAGAAGUACUGACACAUUUAAAGGAGCAUCCUGAUGCUUGGACAAGAGUCGACACAAUUUUGGAAUUUUCUCAGAAUAUGAAUACGAAAAUGAUUAGAGGAACAGAAAGAAAGCAACAGUACUAUGGACUACAAAUUUUGGAAAAUGUGAUAAAAACAAGGUGGAAGAUUCUUCCAA